CGAAAAAUAACGAUACGGGACUCAUCCGAGGCCCCGUAAUCGGAAUGAGUACACUCUAAACCCUUUAACGAGGAUCAAUUGGAGGGCAAGUCUGGUGCCAGCAGCCGCGGUAAUUCCAGCUCCAAUAGCGUAUAUUAAAGUUGUUGCGGUUAAAAAGCUCGUAGUCGAAUUUGUGUCCCGCGCCGCCGGUUCAUCGCUCGCGGUGUCAACUGGCGUGUCCGCGGGACGUCCUGCCGGUGGGCUUAGCCCCUGUGGGCGGCCCAAUCUCAAUCCCACCGCGGUGCUCUUCACUGAGUGUCGAGGUGGGCCGGCACGUUUACUUUGAACAAAUUAGAGUGCUUAAAGCAGGCUAAAACAUCGCCUGAAUACUGUGUGCAUGGAAUAAUGGAAUAGGACCUCGGUUCUAUUUUGUUGGUUUUCGGAACCCCGAGGUAAUGAUUAAUAGGAACGGAUGGGGGUAUUCGUAUUGCGACGUUAGAGGUGAAAUUCUUGGAUCGUCGCAAGACGGACAGAAGCGAAAGCAUUUGCCAAAAACGUUUUCAUUGAUCAAGAACGAAAGUUAGAGGUUCGAAGGCGAUCAGAUACCGCCCUAGUUCUAACCAUAAACGAUGCCAGCUAGCGAUCCGCCGACGUUCCUCCGAUGACUCGGCGGGCAGCUUCCGGGAAACCAAAGCUUUUGGGUUCCGGGGGAAGUAUGGUUGCAAAGCUGAAACUUAAAGGAAUUGACGGAAGGGCACCACCAGGAGUGGAGCCUGCGGCUUAAUUUGACUCAACACGGGAAACCUCACCAGGCCCGGACACCGGAAGGAUUGACAGAUUGAGAG
rnacentral:rRNA from 1 species